CCACUACAAGGAAAGAAUCCCAUACUCAACAAUGGAAGGAAUUCUAGAUUGUCCCUGACUACCUGGGUGACCAUAUCACCUCCCUUGGUUUUGGUUCCUUCUGUCCCCUCCAGGUCUAAAGUUAUGGCCCAAUAAUCUAAUCCAACCUCCUUAUUUUAUAGCUCAGGAAACUGAGGCCAAGUAAGAAGGCAGAACCAAGGCAGCCCUGUUGGGUCAAGAUGCUCUCCUAUUGCUUCAUUUCUCUGGGCCCAGACCCAGAACCUCUAGCUGUUAGGCUAGAGGCUGCAGCUGAACCUCAAGAGCUAUGAAAGGGUCUUCCUCUCAUCCCUUCGACCUCUCCCCUCAACGAAGAGAAACCAACCUGAGUAGAAUAAGCUGUUCAGAUACAUCAUGAGCCUAUCGAAGGAUCUGAUUGUUAGAAAUUUAAAAAGAAAGGAGUCUUGAAUAAUAGGAGUGAUAUUGAGACAACUACAUGCAGAACUCCUAUCAAAUGGAUGAAAUUGAGAAGACUUAAAUAGCAUCAGUCUCUGUCAAUGAUAGCUGAUUGUCUGGUUUGAUCAAUUCGUCAUACCUAUAAUGAAUACCUGUGGAUACUACUAUCAUUC